GCCCGGGUGGCGGAAUUGGCAGACGCGCACGUUUGAGGGGCGUGUGGAGCAAUCCAUAUGGGUUCAAGUCCCAUCCCGGGCACCA
rnacentral:tRNA from 1 species